rnacentral:rRNA from 1 species
UACGGAGGGUGCAAGCGUUAUCCGGAUUCACUGGGUUUAAAGGGUGCGUAGGCGGGUUGGUCAGUCCGUGGUGAAAUCCCCAAGCUUAACUUGGGAACUGCCGUGGAUACUAUCAAUCUUGAAUAUCGUGGAGGUAAGCGGAAUAUGUCAUGUAGCGGUGAAAUGCUUAGAUAUGACAUAGAACACCAAUUGCGUAGGCAGCUUACUACACGAUCAUUGACGCUGAGGCACGAAAGCGUGGGGAGCAAACAGG